rfam:Synergistales bacterium 53_16 MPI_scaffold_677, whole genome shotgun sequence.
AACAGUUUGUUUCUCCGAGCCGGAUCGCCUAAAGGCCUUAAAGCCCAUGGCCACCGGCCGCCAGGGUGUCGCCGGAAACGGCUGCGCCUCCCUUUUGGAAAGGAGGAACGGCGUCAUUAGU